CAUGAACGACAACAUAUAUACCAGAGCAGAAAUCCUUACUAUAGAUAUGACCUGGAACCAUUCAGGGCAUGCAUCUUGAACCUUAAAUUGAUCACAGAAUACAUGAAGCCUCGUUUUUUCUCUUUUUGCUAACUGUUAGUAUUUUUGAAGUGUUUAGGUGAGGAGGAAAGAUUUUUGGUUGCUUUCUACUGUCACAAAGCUUUUAAAGGAAUUCAUCAAAAGACUCUCACAUGAGGCAGACGGUCUCAUAUUUCAGGGUUGGGACGAUCCUUAUGUACCACAAACUCAUGAAGGACUCUUAAAGUGGAAAUACGCUAAUUUAAAUUCAGUUGACUUUCUGUUUGAGGUCGAAGGUGAGCGGGAGCUACUUUUUGUGAAUGAGUGGGGAAAAAAGAAACUCAUGGAUGGGAACAAGGUUGCUUUCCCAGGUCAAACGAAGUUCAUUUUAUUUUUUAUCUGUCCAACUUUGUUUUUAAGUCCCCAGUUAAUACUAGUUUGUUUCGUUUUAGUUUCAAUUGCUUUCUGAUGUUUGUAGUGUAGGAGAU